rnacentral:lncRNA from 1 species
GUCUGCACGGCAUGCUGGGAGCUAUAGUUUUCUGGCACACCAAACGCGCGCGCACCGCUGCCCUCGCGGUAGUAUUGCACCCGUAAGGCGCACGCAUGCGCACUGGUUUCCCUAUGCUCACUGCUGCCCUCGGGUGUCGACACGCCGGUACUGCAGCCAACACUGCCCUCCCCUGCGUACAAAGACUACUGCAACCAGCCGGCGCGCACACGCGCGGUGCCGGUCGCCGUGUUCGCCGCUGCUCUCCGCCGUUUCGGUAACGGGGCGCCGGUUCGUUGGCAGUGCGGGCCGGGGCGCGCGCUCGUCCCUGUGGAGGCGGCGCAGCGGAGCGGGGGGGCAGGCGGGCGCCGGAGCAGGGUUGCGUGGCGGCGUCGGCGGGAGGACGGCUCCUGUGGCGGCAGGCUCAGGCGAGAGUGCCGAGGUGGAACCAAUGAUAGCAAAUGCUGACAAAGAGCAAAGCUGGACGAGUGGUUUUUUGCGAUUAGUCCCUAAGGGGCGGGCUGAAACGAGGAAGCAAAAAUGCAGCAGCGGACCCUCGAUAUCUCCAGAAGCUGCGACAGUAGGAGGUGUUCUGGCCUGGGUAACUAAGCGUUAA